GAUUAAAUGGCUGAAGUUUAG
rnacentral:tRNA from 1 species